AGCAGCCGCGGUAAUUCCAGCUCCAAUAGCGUAUAUUAAAGUUGUUGCAGUUAAAAAGCUCGUAGUUGAAUUUCGGGAUUGGCGCAUCGGUCGUGCCUCACGGGGUAUGAACUGGUGCAGUCAAUUUCUCACCUUCUGGAGGACCGCGAUGUCCUUAAUUGGAUGCCGCGGGGAACCAGGACCUUUACUUUGAAAAAAUUAGAGUGUUUAAGGCAGGCAUUUUUGCUUGAAUACAUUAGCAUGGAAUAAUAAAAUAGGACGGCAUGGUUCUAUUUUGUUGGUUUCUAGGACCACCGUAAUGAUUAAUAGGGAUAGUUGGGGGCAUUAGUAUUCAAUUGUCAGAGGUGAAAUUCUUGGAUUUAUUGGAGACUAACUACUGCGAAAGCAUUUGCCAAGGAUGUUUUCAUUAAUCAAGAACGAAAGUUAGGGGAUCGAAGACGAUCAGAUACCGUCGUAGUCUUAACCAUAAACUAUGCCGACUAGGAAUCAGACGAUGUUAAUUUUUUAAUGACUCG
rnacentral:rRNA from 1 species